rnacentral:snRNA from 1 species
GUAGUAUCUGUUUUUAUUCGUUUAAUAUCUGAUACAUCCUACAAUCGAGGACUUUAUAUUAAGUGGAUUUUUAGAGAAGGGAGCUGGAAGAGGGGCUUGCUCUGUCCGCUCCACGCAUGUCACUUUGC